GACGAACGCUGGCGGCGUGCUUAACACAUGCAAGUCGAACGGUGACGCACCUUCGGGUGCUGAUCAGUGGCGAACGGGUGAGUAACACGUGGGCAACCUGCCCCUGACUCUGGGAUAACUCCUCGAAAGAGGUGCUAAUACCGGAUACCACCUCCCUCGGCAUCGGGGGAGGUUGAAAGUUUUUCGGUCAGGGAUGGGCCCGCGGCUGAUUAGCUAGUUGGUGAGGUAACGGCUCACCAAGGCGACGAUCAGUAGCCGGCCUGAGAGGGUGACCGGCCACACUGGAACUGAGACACGGUCCAGACUCCUACGGGAGGCAGCAGUGGGGAAUAUUGGACAACGGGCGAAAGCCUGAUCCAGCAACGCCGCGUGGAGGAUGAAGGCCUUCGGGUUGUAAACUCCUGUUAGGGGGAACGAAAGGUCGCGGGUUAACAGCCGGCGGCCCUGACGGUACCUCCAGAGGAAGCCCCGGCUAACUC
rnacentral:rRNA from 1 species